CGUGGUCUAUAGGGUGCUCCGGCGGCGCGCGCUUGCGUUCCCGGGAGAGUGGUUAUCUGAGUAGUUUGCUUGUGGUGGGUGAUUAGAAGUGCGGUUUUCCACUUUUGUAACGUUUCUGGUUAUCUGUUUUCUGUUUUUAUGUCAGAGGGAUGUUAUAACUGUCGGGGGUAGUUUUUCUGCGCCAUUUGGCGCCGGGGAAGGAGACUGAGAAGAAGCGGGUUUUUCCGAUUAGGGGGGUUAUCGCAAGGGGCGCUGCUGGCGGCUCGAAAGGCGGCGGUGCUGGGCCUGCCCGGGCUGGAGCGUGAGCGUGUGUCCAGCCUGCUGGGUCUGCGCUUGGAGACAGGCACUGUCGGGAGCGGGAGCACCGAGGAGGCGAGGGCGUGAGAGCCAGAGUUUUAAAAUCUUGCUUAAAAGCUUAUUACGCACGCCGUGUUUUCCAAGCUCGAAACCGCCCACGUGGGUCUUGUCCAGGAAAAUGAUCUGCAACCAAUCUGUAAAUGAAAAUUGAGGUGGGUUUAUUCUGAGCCAAAAUGUGAGGACCAUAUAGCCGGGGCGGCCUUCCCCAAGGAAGGAAGGGCACCAAAGAGGCGGGGUGUCCAGAGUGGUAUAUACGGUCACAGAGCACGUGUCCCAUGUGAUUGGAUUGUCCCUUUUAUAGUAGUGAGAUGGCGCUGUCGGCAUAGCGAUUGAUGGACAGCAGGUAGCAGGUCUGCUGUUUCAGUGGACAGGCAGGGUGGCAGGUCUGUUGUCUCGAGCUGGGUGGUCAGAGGGUGGGUGCAGCAAUCAGUUCCUAGUCUAGGGAGAGAUGCUUAGCCUUAAGGAAAUGCCAUUGUAGGGGAAGCUGCAUCUUUACCUUAAGGGCAUUUGUUCUUGUCUGUGGACACAGGAAAUGCUUAAAGCAGAUGUGCAAUGCAUGUGCAACGGCCACUCUGGAAAAAGCAAGGUCAGGCCAAAUUAGAUUUAUACCAAACAGCUUCCUCAUAUACUGCAAUAUCCUAUGGCUUGCCGUUUGUUUAUUAGUCUUAAUGUGUUUAUCUUACUAGAUUAUAGUAACUGUGAGAGCUGGAGCCCUCACCAGUGCAUUUUUGAAGGGUGUAACCUGGAUGUCUCACAGCCUGUUUAAAGUUUGUGCACACAGACUGAGGGCUCUGUAGUGUCUGCUCGAUGUUUUGUUCACCUUGAUUGCUUUUUCUGAAGGCCUGGAUUUCAGGGUCUUCGAGUACCUCCUAAUUGGAUGGUUUUCAGGUAUAGCAAAAGGCCAAGGGACCUAGCCCGUCUAUUAAACUUCCAGAAAGGCAAUAACAACUGUUUGUCUUUAUCAACUUUAAAAUAGCCAGUUAUUUUACUGACAAAUGAGUUUAUUUGGAAAUAACAAAGUAAUUGUAAUUCAGGAUGUGCAAACUAUGGUGAAACACAGGCAAGUCCAGAGAACAAAGGAGGGGCGCUUGCUUUUAUAGAGAAAAAGGGGGAGUUGUGAGGGGCUGUUGUAAAUGAAAGCUCUUUGGGGAGGAGUAAGAGUUCAGGGUGGUUUUGGCUCCUCAGCAGGGUGGCUUUGGCAUCUUCCAUUGGCCUGGGUUGUUGCUGGGCAAGAAGAAAAUCUUCCUUUUUCCUCCUGGGGUAGUAUAGCAGCAACUUCCUGUUGAAGAUGCAAGAAAUAAAACCUUCCACACCUACCCAGAAGCGGAGAACAGGAGAAGCAUCCUUCCAAUACAUGUGAGAGAGAGCCAGAGUGAAGGCUGAGUAAUGUGAAGUUUGACAAGGCAGUUAUCAAGAAGACCCUCAAGAGCUAGAAGCCAGAGUUUUUCUCCACAGUGAAUAUUCCUUAAUUGGGUCUUACAGAUACUCAAUCCCAGCGGUAGUGACAGGUUUAAAAGCUCUCACUGGAAGAUGUCUACAGCUCCUGGCACGCUCUGUUCAGCAAUAUUCUUCCUUGAUCACUUCAGAGCGAGAGCCUGUGUGUAAACUUGAAUGUGAACGUAUUAAAAGUCACUUAUGAAGAUCCUGAAGAGCUGCCAGCAGGAGACUUUCUCAACCCUGUACUCUCCCUGAAUGAUGUUAAAGAUUAUCUGUCCUACGAUGAAUGAGAAGACUUAAAACUCUUCUAGGAAAAAACCCUUUAACACCUACUCGGAAACAGAGUUCAGGAGAAACAUUCUUCCAAUACGUGUAAGAGGGAGUCUCAGUGAAGGACGAGAUCUGCAAAAAUGAGAAGGCAAUUAUCAAGGUGAUCCUCAAGAUUUAUAAGCAAAGUGAUCUCCACAGUGAAUAUUCCUUGUGUGAAUGUUGUAGAUAUUACCUCCCAGCUAGAGGGAAGUGUUUUGCAUCUCUUUUUUAAACAAAAAGUUUAACACCUACCAGGAAGCAGAGUGCAGGAGGAAACUUCUUACAAUACAUGUGAAGAGAGCCUGAGUGAAUGCUGAGGACUGCAAAGUUUGAAAAGGCAAAUAUCAAGGUGACCCUCAAGAGCAGGAAGCAAGAGUUUUUCUCAUGGUGAAUAUCCCCUGAAUGGAUGUUAUAGGUAUUCUCUGCCAGCUAUAGGGAAAAUUUUCAAUCUCUUCCAGAAACAAAACCUUUAACACCUAUCAGGAAGCAGAGGUCAGGAGAAUCAUUCUUAAGUACAUGUGAGAGAGAGACUGAGUGAAAGCUCAGAAUUUCAAAACAUGAAAGGGCAAUUAUCAAGGUGAUCCUUAAGGGGCAGAAGCAAGAAUUUUUCCCAACACUGUAAUCUGUUUGAAUGGAUGUUAUAGAAAUUCACUCCCAGCUGUAGAAAUGUUUAAAGCUCUCCAAGCAAAAUGUCACUCCCUGCUCUUGGCAAGCUAACCUCAGGAAUCAUUUUCCUUCACCACAUGUGGCUAGAGAGCCUUUGUGUAGACUGAAUUGCGAUGUACUAAAAGUCACUUAUCAAGACGAUGCAAAAGAGCUACAAGCAGGACCUUUUCCACAUUGCAUACCCUUUUUGAAUGACGUUACAGAUAAUCUGUCCUCACUGUUGUGAAGACUUUUAAGUCUCUCCAUGGAAGAAACCCCUUCACAGAUACAGGCAGCUGCGUUCAGCAGGAACAUGCUUUCAUGAAAUGGAAGAGAGAAUCUGAGUGAAGGCUCAGAAGUACAAUAUGUGAGAAGGCACUUAGAAGGACGAUCCUAACCACCUACAAGCCAGAGAUUUUCUGCUCAGUGGACUUUCCUUCAAUGGAUGCUAUACAUAUUCUCCCCAAGCUGUAAUAAAAUGUUAAAAAUCUCUCCUAGGAAAAUGUCACGUCCAGCUCCUGACAGGGUGAGCUCAGCAAGAGUUUCCCUUCGUCACAUGAGAGUGAGAAACUUUGCGUAGCCUGAAGGGCAUGUAUGAAAAGUGAGUUAUGAAGAUGUUACUGAAGAGCCACAAGUUGGAGAUUUUCUACACAGUGUAACCACAUUGAACGAUACUUACAUAUAAUCUGGCCCAGUAGAAGUGAAAACUUUUCAAUCUCUCCUUUGAAGUAGCCCCUUCACAGCUGUGGGCAUCUGAGUUCAGCAGGGACAUGCUUCCAUGACAUGGGGGAGAGCUUGAGGGAAGGCAGUGAACCUCAAUGUGUGCAAAAGCACUUACCAGGAUGAUCCUGAAGUGCUAGAAACCAAAGCUUCUCUGCACAGUGGAUGGUCUAGAUAUUCUCUCAGCUGUAGUGAAAAGAUUAAAAUUUCUCCCAGGACAGUGUCACUUCCAGCUCCUGGCAAGCUGAAUUCAGCAAUAGUUUUCCUUCAUCACCCACAAGUGAGAGCUGGUGUGUCGAAUGAAGUGCAUUGUAUUAAAAGUCAUUAAACAAGACUGUCCUAAAGAGCUACGAGGAGGAGUUUUUCUAUACCCUGUGCCCUCAUUGAACAAAAGCUAUAGAUAACCUGCCCUAGUCAUAGUGAAAUAUUUUAAGUAUCUCCUUGGAAGAAGCACCUUCACAGCUAUGGAGAGUGGAGUUCAGCAGGAAAGUGCUUUCAUGACACUGCUGAGAGAGCCUGAGUGAAGUUGGUGAACUGUAAUGUGUGAAAUGUCACCUAGCAAGAGGAUCCUAAACAGCUACCAGCCAGCUAUUUUCUGCACAGUGUACAUUCCUUGAAUGUAUGCUAUGGAUAUUCUCUCCCAGCUGUAGUGAAAUGAUGAAGAGCUCUGUUAGGAAAAUGUCACUUCCACCUCCUGGCAAGCAGUGCUCACCUGUAAUUUUACUUCAUCAAAUGUGCAUGAGAGCCUCUGUGUAGACUGAACUGCAGUGUAUUAGAAGUCACUUAUCAAGAAGAUACUAAAAAGGUAAAAGCAGGAGGUUUUCUCCACUGUGAAACCUCAUUGAAUAUAUGUUACAGAUAAUCUGUCACAAGUGUAGUGAAAAUCUGUAAAUCUCUCCUUGGGAGAACUCCCUUCACAGCUACAGACAGCUGAGCUCAGCAGGAACGUGCCUUCAUGACGUGGGAGCGCCUGAGUGAAGGCUGUGGGCUGCCACCUCUGGAAGGCAUGCACCAGGGUGAAAACGCCUCCCCUUGAACAUGUGAGCUAGACAUGCUCUCCCAGCCUCCAGGAAAUGUUUAAAAGCUCCCCUGGGAGAAAGUCAAUUUCACCUCUUGGCAUGGUGAGGUCAGCAGCAGUUUUCCUUCAUGACGUGCACUUGACAGCCAGUGUCUUGAGUUCUUGGCAUAGAAUUAAAGGGGAGGGGCCGGCUCCGUGGCCGAGUGGUUAAGUUCGCAUGCUCUGCUGCGGCGGCCCAGGAUUCGGAUCCUGGGUGCGGACAUGGCACCACUCGUCAGGCCACUUUGAGGCAGCGUCCCACGUCCCACAGCUAGAAGGACCUGCAACCAACAUAUACAACUAUGUACGGCUGGGUGGGGUUUGGGAAAUAAAGCAGAAAAAAAAAAGAUUGGCAACAGUUGUUAGCCGAGGUGCCAAUCCUUAAAAAAGAAAGGAAGAUUGGCAACAGUUGUUAGCCCAGGUGCCAAUCUUUAAAAAAAAAAAUUAAAAGUGACUUAAAAACUAUAUUAAAGAGGCACAAGCAGUUCUAAACCGUGUACCCACACUGUCCAAAAGUAACAGCUAAUGUGUCCCAGAGAGAAAUGUUUUCAAUCUCUCCUUGGAAGAAAUCUCUUCACAACUACGGGCAUCUGAGUUCAGCAGGGACAGUCUUUCCUGACAAGGGAGGCAGAGCCUGAGUGUAGGCCGUGAACUGCAAUGUGUGAGGCCCUUACCUAGAUGAUCUGAAACAGCUGGAAGCCAGGGGUUUUUGGCAUAGUGCACUUCCUUACACAGUGAAACAGAAUAAAGGAAACCUCAUUUUAAAUGAGAUUGGGAGGCAAGAAGGGGGAGCCUUCAGGCACUAUAACUUGAUAUCAAUUACAGAAUCGUCAAUUACAGACCCCAACAGAAAAAUUGCCCAUUACAUUCCCAACAAGAAAUUGACUAGCCGAGCAACUCAGCCAAUGAGAAAUCAUCACCACCCUGAACUCUCACUUUCUUCCAAUGGACUUUUGUUCAAAACAACCCCUCCUAACUUCUUUUUCUCUGUAAAAUAACAUUCCUCUCCUUUUGUGUGCUGGACUUGCCUAUGGCUUUUGCUAGAGUUUGCUUGUCCUGAAUUGUGAUUCCUCUGCUAUUCUUGAAUAAACUCCUUUUGCUGGUAAAAAUA